rnacentral:rRNA from 1 species
UAGGGAAUCUUCGGCAAUGGACGAAAGUCUGACCGAGCAACGCCGCGUGAGUGAAGAAGGUUUUCGGAUCGUAAAACUCUGUUGUUAGAGAAGAACAAGGACGUUAGUAACUGAACGUCCCCUGACGGUAUUUAACCAGAAAGCCACGGCUAACUACGUGCCAGCAGCCGCGGUAAUAUGUAGGUGGCAAGCGUUGUCCGGAUUUAUUGGGCGUGAAGCGAGCGCAGGCGGUUUCUUAAGUCUGAUGUGAAAGCCCCCGGCUCAACCGGGGAGGGUCAUUGGAAACUGGGAGACUUGAGUGCAGAAGAGGAGAGUGGAAUUCCAUGUGUAGCGGUGAAAUGCGUAGAUAUAUGGAGGAACACCAGUGGCGAAGGCGGCUCUCUGGUCUGUAACUGACGCUGAGGCUCGAAAGCGUGGGGAGCAAACAGG